UACGUGAGGGUGCAAGCGUUAUCCGGAAUUAUUGGGCGUAAGGAGCUCGUAGGCGGUUUGUCGCGUCGUGCUGUGAAAACUGGAGGCUCAACCUCCAGCCUGCAGUGGGUACGGGCAGACUAGAGUGCGGUAGGGGAGAUUGGAAUUCCUGGUGUAGCGGUGGAAUGCGCAGAUAUCAGGAGGAACACCGAUGGCGAAGGCAGAUCUCUGGGCCGUAACUGACGCUGAGGAGCGAAAGCAUGGGGAGCGAACAGG
rnacentral:rRNA from 1 species